rnacentral:misc_RNA from 1 species
GUGAAUCAUCAAAUUUUUGAACGCAAAUUGCACUCUCUGCGGAGAGUAGGCCUGUGUGAGGGUCAGCCUAAAAAAAAUCGACAUAGUCGCUGUUGCGCGGUGACAUUCGGCAGAAAUGGGGUCAUCGUAAACCUUUGGGAUUUAAGCGGCUUAACAUUUUCUCUACGAUUCUACGAACGUGGCUAAGAUUUACUUACACGUUGAAGGUAUCGAUUUUUAUUAGA